UGGGUUAUAGUUAAUGUUUAACGCCUAAUUUGCAAUUAGGAAAUAUUGUAAAUUACAAUUAACCUAA
rnacentral:tRNA from 1 species